CCUACGGGAGGCAGCAGUGGGGAAUAUUGGACAAUGGGCGAAAGCCUGAUCCAGCAAUGCCGCGUGAGUGAUGAAGGCCUUAGGGUUGUAAAGCUCUUUUACCCGGGAUGAUAAUGACAGUACCGGGAGAAUAAGCUCCGGCUAACUCCGUGCCAGCAGCCGCGGUAAUACGGAGGGAGCUAGCGUUGUUCGGAAUUACUGGGCGUAAAGCGUACGUAGGCGGUUAUUCAAGUCAGAGGUGAAAGCCUGGAGCUCAACUCCAGAACUGCCUUUGAAACUAGGUAGCUAGAAUCUUGGAGAGGUUAGUGGAAUUCCGAGUGUAGAGGUGAAAUUCGUAGAUAUUCGGAAGAACACCAGUGGCGAAGGCGACUAACUGGACAAGUAUUGACGCUGAGGUACGAAAGCGUGGGGAGCAAACAGGAUUAGAUACCCUGGUAGUCCACGCCGUAAACGAUGAUAACUAGCUGUUCGGGCUCUACGAGCUUGAGUGGCGCAGCUACGCAUUAAGUUAUCCGUCCGUCGGGUAGGUACGGUCGCGAGAAGUUAAACGUAACGAAAGGAAAGUUAGUAACGGUCGUGUUAGACGUGCCGAACGGACGACGACGAGGGAGGAGG
rnacentral:rRNA from 1 species